rnacentral:rRNA from 1 species
UACGAAGGGGGCUAGCGUUGUUCGGAAUCACUGGGCGUAAAGGGCGCGUAGGCGGCCGUUCAAGUCGGGGGUGAAAGCCUGUGGCUCAACCACAGAAUUGCCUUCGAUACUGGACAUCUUGAGUACGGGAGAGGUGAGUGGAACUCCGAGUGUAGAGGUGAAAUUCGUAGAUAUUCGGAAGAACACCAGUGGCGAAGGCGACUCACUGGACACAUAUUGACGCUGAGGUGCGAAAGCGUGGGGAGCAAACAGG